rnacentral:rRNA from 1 species
GACGAACGCUGGCGGCGUGCUUAACACAUGCAAGUCGACGAUGCGGCGGACGGGUGAGUAACGCGUAAAGAACUUGCCUCACAGCUAGGGACAACAUUUAGAAAUGAAUGCUAAUACCUGAUACUGUGAGAGAGCUUUGCGUCCCAUUAGCUAGUUGGAGAGGUAACAGCUCACCAAGGCGAUGAUGGGUAGCCGGCCUGAGAGGGUGAACGGCCACAAGGGGACUGAGACACGGCCCUUACUCCUACGGGAGGCAGCAGUGGGGAAUAUUGGACAAUGGACCGAAGUCUGAUCCAGCAAUUCUGUGUGCACGAUGAAGUUUUCGGAAUGUAAAGUGCUUUCAGUUGGGAAGCGGUACCAACAGAAGAAGUGACGGCUAAAUACGUGCCAGCAGCCGCGGUAAUUC